GUGGACUAGGCUGGGGGGCUGAUCCUCUCCUGUUGCCCCAAACGGAUCUUUUGGGGGGGCUGAAGUCUGCGGGGCGGCGUCCAAAACCGCCUUGAAGUCUAAGGUCGGACGGUGACUUCUCGUCCCGCUGGAUUGUCCGCCGUUGGAAUCGGGUCAGGCCCUGACGGGAGCAGCCCUAACAGCAGCGGACGAUGCUUGCGGGGUCACGGGGAAAAGAAUGGCCUUAGGUUCCCUUCAGGGCAGUUAGGUCGUCCACCUGCGGACGUGUCCGC
rnacentral:SRP_RNA from 1 species